AGAGUUUGAUCCUGGCUCAGAGUGAACGCUGGCGGUAGGCCUAACACAUGCAAGUCGAACGGCAGCACAGGGGAGCUUGCUCUUUGGGUGGCGAGUGGCGGACGGGUGAGGAAUACAUCGGAAUCUACUUUUUCGUGGGGGAUAACGUAGGGAAACUUACGCUAAUACCGCAUACGACCUACGGGUGAAAGCAGGGGAUCUUCGGGCCUUGCGCGAUUGAAUGAGCCGAUGUCGGAUUAGCUAGUUGGCGGGGUAAAGGCCCACCAAGGCGACGAUCCGUAGCUGGUCUGAGAGGAUGAUCAGCCACACUGGAACUGAGACACGGUCCAGACUCCUACGGGAGGCAGCAGUGGGGAAUAUUGGACAAUGGGCGCAAGCCUGAUCCAGCCAUACCGCGUGGGUGAAGAAGGCCUUCGGGUUGUAAAGCCCUUUUGUUGGGAAAGAAAUCCAGCCGGCUAAUACCUGGUUGGGAUGACGUAC
rnacentral:rRNA from 1 species